rnacentral:misc_RNA from 1 species
CUCUCUCUCUCUCUCUCUCAUGGCCACCCAGGAAGAGGGUAUCAAGCUCUUUGGCACAACAAUCACGUUGCAUGCUAGACAAGUUAAAGAAGAUCAAAAUAAAGAAAAUCCAUCGCCUGAAAAGAGGCCGGAGAAGAUCAUACCAUGCCCUAGAUGCAAGAGCAUGGAGACUAAAUUUUGUUACUUCAACAACUAUAAUGUUAACCAGCCUAGGCACUUCUGCAAGGGCUGCCAGAGGUACUGGACUGCAGGUGGAGCUCUUCGUAAUGUUCCCGUUGGUGCGGGCCGACGGAAAACCAAGCCACCAGGCCGUGGUGGGCUUGGUGGGUUCCCAGAAGGGUGCUUGUAUGAUGGCUCAGGUGAUAUGCAUCAGAUUGAGCUGGAUAGUGAGAUGCUGGUUGAGGAGUGGCACGUGGCCGCCCACGGUGGUUUCCGGCAUGUUUUCCCUGUGAAGCGUCGGAGGAGUAGUUCAGGUUGUCAAACUUGUUGAUUUUGACAUUUUGUCUUUAUCUUCAAAGAGAAUAUAUAUGCACACAGAAACUGAAUUUUAUUUAUUAAGAAAAAAAUUAACCUUCAAAUCUAGUUUUUGUUUUAAUUAAUUUUAAUAAAAUUUAAAAAACUUGCAUAAGAUGUUCAUCUUAAUUUCAUCUUUUUUUUUCACAGUUAUGUGCAACUACCUGAUCUUGAUUAUUAGUACUUUUGUAAUAUAUUUAUAGAUGAUCAGAAAUAGUAAAUAAUUAUUCAAUUAAUUAGCAGGGAUCGAUCUUGUAUAUAUUUAGGGAUGGUGUUUGCAUAUUGCUGUUAAACAUGAAUGAUUAAUCAUAUUUGGGUGUUGAGAGAUGUAUAUUAACAGCUGACCAUAGGGAUUCAUGUAAACUAUGGGUAGGUC